ensembl:lncRNA
AUGAAUAUGUCCAAUUAUAAUUGUGAUUAUGACAACACUAGUUUAGGAAAUAAAAGUAUGUUACUAUCUGAGCGUAGAAUAAAUACUAACGCUAGUCAUUAUAUGACAGGAUCUGAUACGACUGUUAUUAAUGCUGAUUGUAAAGAGAACAUAAAUAAAGAAUGUAAUGAAUAUUCUGAUAGAUAUGGAAACACGAAUGAACAAAAAAUUGAUAAUAAAGAAAAUAAUGUAAAUGGUGUUAUAAAAAAUAAUAAAUCAAAUAUAAACCAAACAAAUAUGUUAAACAACAUGUCUCCAAUUAAAGAUUCAAAUGAAAUGUCUUACGCGGGUUAUAAUAAUUUAUAUCAUUAUAAGUUAAAAGAUAAUACAACCAUUAAUAUUACUAGAAUGAAUAAUUCAAGUGAUGAUAACCAAAAUAAAUAUCUUGAACAAAAUAUGAAAAGUGAAAUAGCUAAUCUGAAUACAUUAAAUAAUGAUUACGAUUCUAGAUGUUUUAGAAUGAAAAACAUGAAAGAUAUACAAAAUAAAGAUCAUGGUAAUAUGAUUUAUAAAAAUGAUAUUUUUUAUAAUUGUACUAAUCAAGAUCUUAUGUAUAUAAUGCAUUAUUAUAUACGACAUGGUAAUUUUGCUUUAGUUACAAAUAAUAGUAAUUUAAUAUGUGAUAGUUAUUAUAACAAUUUGUUAUCCUUAAUAACUGUAUGUGAUGAAAAAAGUAAAGAUGAGAGUAAAGAUAAAAGUGAUAUUGUGUUAUUAAAUAAAAGUUUAUUUAAUUUUAUGAAAAUAAAAUAUAUAUCUAAUCGUUUAUUUAUGAAUAUACUUUUAUUUAUUGAAUAUAAUAUAACUAUGUAUACCUGUCUUAUUAUAUUAUCAAUUAUUACUUGUAUAGUUCAUGGAUUUGAAUUCUUAAACACUAUGCAAAUUUUAUAUAUAUAUGCAAAUAAAAAUAUUAUUUUAUACUAUAUUUCUUGUUUUCGAAAAAGUGAUUUUUGCAUUGGAGAAAAUAGGAAUAAAAAAAAAUGUUAA